UACGAAGGGUGCAAGCGUUACUCGGAAUUACUGGGCGUAAAGCGUGCGUAGGUGGUUUGUUAAGUCUGAUGUGAAAGCCCUGGGCUCAACCUGGGAAUGGCAUUGGAUACUGGCAGUCUAGAGUGCGGUAGAGGGUAGCGGAAUUCCCGGUGUAGCAGUGAAAUGCGUAGAUAUCGGGAGGAACAUCCGUGGCGAAGGCGGCUACCUGGACCAGCACUGACACUGAGGCACGAAAGCGUGGGGAGCAAAC
rnacentral:rRNA from 1 species